rnacentral:tRNA from 1 species
GGAAAAGUUGCCAUUGGUAAGGCAAGAUAUUUGCUAAAUAUUGUGUUUUUACACCUGAAAGUUCGAAUCCUUCCUUUUCCG